rnacentral:tRNA from 1 species
GCCGAGAUAGCUCAGGGGUAGAGCACUUUCUUGGUAAGAAAGGGGUCAUGGGUUCAAUUCCCAUUCUCGGCU